GCACAGCUGAGGAGUCCCAUAAUAGAACGAAACGGCCGUUCAGUGC
rnacentral:hammerhead_ribozyme from 1 species